GAGAUGAGGAAUGGAACCCAACAGAUCGAAUACCUCCUUCCUCGCUUUUCUUAAGUCUUGGUCAUAUCCGAUCAACUAGCUAGAUUCUCCAAUCUAGCAUUCAUAUUGCGACUAAUCUCACCAAGCAGAGCGUAGCCAUAAGUGGAUUUGCAUUUCUUGCCUCUAGUUUCUUUCACUUGUGCAGGUUGCUUGCUUCCAUAAACACUAUUUUUCCCCUUGUGUGGCUUCAAAUAUGUCAUCAAGGCUAACGUUAUAAUCAUCGGCCGAUGCAGAUUCUUCCAUGUACAUCUUGUUGCUCCAAUUUUAUUCAACACAUCGAGAAUGUCCUCUGCAUUAUCACACGUUGCCCACUCCGUUUCCAAAAAUCUCUUUCCAAUCCACAAAGUAAGGUCAAGGCUUUUACCGCAUUGAACAAGCAUUACUAUCGCUCUGUCAUGUCAACAAAAAGCAAAAUUCAACAUAUAUCGCAAAUUUAAAUCAUGGAAGCUAUCACAAAAUUAAUAUUAUGCAAAUAAUGCACCUUUCGUUAAUACUUUCUUGCAGAGCAUAAACAUAUAAAUUAAUUUGUAAAGAAAUUACUAAGGAUAAAAAUAAGUCAUGUUUUCUAUAGAAAUCACUAGUUAACAUUUUAAAACAUGUGAAGAUAAGUAAAAAUAAGCCAACCUCGUACGUGUAACUUCAAGUCCUUAUUCACUACAAGAAAGAAACAAUGGACUUCAUGACCAAACUAUAAUCAUCGAGGGAAAAAAUAUAGAAGAAAGAAAACAAUUUUAGAUAAAGACUCUUCUCACAAUAUUCAGAAGACAUUCAUUUAUAUAGCAGAGAAAAAUUAUGAAACAAAAGCUAUGAUCAGGUUCAGAGGGUCACAAAUCUCAUUUCAUUCAUGAACAUAGUUAGCACCACAAUGAGAAAGCUUUCAUCCAUUUUUAAAAAUUUCAUUGAAGGAUUUUCAGAGAUAUGGAUUAUUCCCCAACAACAAAAUUUCAACUUUACAUAUUUAUUAUCAUCAUAGUAGAUAAUCUUUAGUAUCAUUUCAGAUCAAGCAUGCCCGCAUUUUAUUAUAUGCAUGUGAAGGUUGUAGUGGAAAUGAAGGAUUUCAUAGAUAUAGACAUUAAUAUCCACAUGACUAUAUCAAACAAAGAAUCUGAUCGAGUUCCAUACCAAUAUAAAGUGUAGCUAAGGCACUGAGUAUCCGGCCACUAUAGAAAAUAAAAAAAAGGAUAAGAAACGUUUAAAAGACAUGUUCUCACAUUUAAAGCAGCCCACAAACAGAAAAUCAAAUUAUAACAAAUUUCAGAGUUAUCAUGUUACCUAAUUUCAUAUUUCUUCCAAUUCCAAGUAUGAUUUCUCCAAUUUUCAUGUCGAUGAGAUCAAUAUAAUUAGGCUCAUUUAUUGUAAAAAGACACGUAAUUUCUUGUAAUUCCCAAUUAUAUUGGAAUAAAAAUACGAUUAAAAUUAUAAUUUCAUGUGGGAGCAAUAUUGAUUAAGUCGAUGGAAUUACAAGAGAUGUCAAUGGGCGCAAUAUAAUUAUAUAAUUCCAAGAAAAACAAGAGGAUAAGAAACUAUGGCUCCCAAUUUUAAUGUUGAUGGGAGCAAUAAAAUUAUUGCUGAUAGAAGUAGAUUUUGACGUAGUAACAUAUGUUUGACGCCAUGUCCUAAAUUAUGUAAGAUUAAAUCGAUGCAUGCGGACUAACCUUCUUGGGUAGAUUCCAUUUCGGAUGAUGUUUGGUAGCGGUGAAGACGAAUUUGAUGAGGUUUCUCCAUAAACCUUCUACAUUUUCCGUAUACAAACAAGGGGUCGUCUGUUGGGCUGAGAUAGAAGAGAAAGCUCUUCGAAAAGGCAAUCCCACUGCUGCU
rnacentral:lncRNA from 1 species